AGUAACGCGUGGGCAACCUGCCCCAUACUAAGGGAUAGCCACUGGAAACGGUGAUUAAUACCCUAUAAGACAACAGAUUCGCAUGAAUCAGUUGCCAAAGAUUUUAUCGGUAUGGGAUGGGCCCGCGUCUGAUUAGUUAGUUGGUGAGGUAAUGGCUCACCAAGACAUCGAUCAGUAGCCGACCUGAGAGGGUGAUCGGCCACACUGGAACUGAGACACGGUCCAGACUCC
rnacentral:rRNA from 1 species